rnacentral:rRNA from 1 species
CGGGACGGGUGAGUAAUGUCUGGGAAACUGCCUGAUGGAGGGGGAUAACUACUGGAAACGGUAGCUAAUACCGCAUAACGUCGCAAGACCAAAGAGGGGGACCUUCGGGCCUCCUUGCCAUCGGAUGUGCCCAGAUGGGAUUAGCUAGUAGGUGGGGUAACGGCUCACCUAGGCGACGAUCCCUAGCUGGUCUGAGAGGAUGACCAGCCACACUGGAACUGAGACACGGUCCAG